CUUUCUCGGUAGGUUUAUACAAAAAGCGCCAGCAAGAUACAUCGUUUUAACUUUAUUCAGUUUUUACAAACUCAGGUUCCAAAGUGACAAUCACGUUAGAACAACGCAGCCUUGACUAUAAAGCUGAAAUAAUAUGAAAGUAACACUGAACCGCGCAUUUCAUCAUCAAAAUAAAUACGGUUUAUUCACAAACUUUGUUUAUUUUAUGUUAAUUUUUAUAUCAUAAAACUGUAAGUUUAAUUUUGAUAUAUUGCUCUUGAUGUAUUUACUAAUACCAUAGAUACCUGAAAAUAUGAUUAGGUAUCUAUGCUAAUACCAAUGCGCUUGACUUCAACAACAGCGAGCUUUGUGUGUGUCAUGCUGAUUAGUUUGGUUUAGUGGUGGCGCCCUUCGUCAUAAGGUGUCGCCAGAUAUGCAUAUACCAAUAACUCCUUGCACAGUGCACACGGCGUCUUUGUUGACGUUGAGUUGACGAGAAAACGCUCGGUGGUUGAGCAACAUGUCUUCUCAGCCUUGAAGUCAGUCGUGCAGGCGAAACCGUAAAACGUUUCGCAGUCUGGUUGAAGGCGGCCCUUGCGAUUACACCCGGGGCAGAAGACUUUCUUCGCAACUAGUCUCAUUUAGAGUCGACUUGGAUCUAGGACGUGAGGGUUCUGGGCUUGUUAGAGGGCGCUUUGAGCUUCUGGCAGUUCUCGUUAUCUUUGUGGUUUCGGUUGCUUUCUGAGUUGUACUAUUCCUCUUAUCGUUCUUGCCUUCGGCUUGUUGUGAGAAUAAAGGGCAGUCCUUCGUUCUGGCAGGGCACUCUGCUUGCUUAUGACCUGGCUUUUGGCAGUAUUUACAGGUAAAAUCCACAAAAUCACCUCUUCUGCUUGCAAUACCAACAAGUUUCCUAGUGCGAAAUCAACUUCCUUAAUUAGCUUACAGAGCUCUUCCUCUACCAUUACAUUUAUCGUUCUUACCGCCGAAAAUGCAGGUAUUCUCAUCAGAGAGGGCGCAGAAACUUUUGCAGCGUAACUAGAUUGAGGCAUUGCGACCGUUCAGUCCAAACGC